GGAGCUAAUCCCUUAAAGCUACUCUCAGUUCGGAUUGUAGGCUGAAACUCGCCUACAUGAAGCUGGAGUUACUAGUAAUCGCAGAUCAGAAUGCUGCGGUGAAUGCGUUCCCGGGUCUUGUACACACCGCCCGUCACACCACGGGAGUUGGAGACGCCCGAAGCCGAUUAUCUAACCUGUUGGAAGAAGUCGUCGAAGGUGGAAUCAAUAACUGGGGUGAAGUCGUAACAAGGUAGCCGUAUCGGAAGGUGCGGCUGGAUCACCUCCUUUCUA
rnacentral:rRNA from 1 species